UACGGAGGAUGCAAGCGUUAUCCGGAUUCAUUGGGUUUAAAGGGUGCGCAGGCGGAUAUAUAAGUCAGUGGUGAAAUGCAACAGCUUAACUGUUGAGCUGCCAUUGAUACUGUAGGUCUAGAGUGUAAUUGGGGUAAGCGGAAUAUGUCAUGUAGCGGUGAAAUGCUUAGAUAUGACAUAGAACACCGAUCGCGAAGGCAGCUUACCAAGCUACAACUGACGCUCAUGCACGAAAGCGUGGGGAUCAAAC
rnacentral:rRNA from 1 species